UACGAGAGCCUCGAGCGUUAUCCGGAAUUAUUGGGCGUAAAGGGUGCGUAGGUGGUUCUGUUAGUCUUUUGUUAAAGCCCCGAGCUUAACUUGGGAAUCGCGAAAGAAACGGCAGAACUAGAAAGUGUGAGAGGCGUACGGAACUCAUGGUGUAGGGGUGAAAUCCGUUGAUAUCAUGGGGAACACCAAAAGCGAAGGCAGUACGCUGGCGCAUAUUUGACACUGAAGCACGAAAGCGUGGGUAGCGAAUGGG
rnacentral:rRNA from 1 species